rnacentral:ncRNA from 7 species
GUCCAGUUUUCCCAGGAAUCCCUUA